UUCCCAUUCACCCUCAUUUUAAGACUAUUUUAUCUUAAAUAACAAAAACCUCAACAAGAACUUAUUGAGCUAGGCUUCUUCCGAAAUGAAUCUGGCCAACUGGUGGUCAGUCUCACAGGCGUACCACCCUUUAAAUCACCUUACGAGCUUGAAUCAUUAUUAACAGAAUGAGGUAGAAGAUCCAACGGUGAGCAUGUUCAUGUCAAACAAAUAACACUGAAAAGACUUAAUUCAAACACACAAGCAAUAUUGCUAAACAAAUUGAAGAUUAAAGCCACCUUUAACAGCCAAACAUGCUAAUCUUAAGUAAUCAAGCACAAAUCUAUAUAUCUAUAUAAUUGAGGGAAUAGUAUAGCUGAUGUGGCACCUUCCACAGAAAAGGAUUGAUAUAUUUCUUUUUCCCUGUUUAUUUACGUUUUCCCCUAUUUUCUCCUAUUUAUGUUCUUUUAUGAGAAAAGAAAAAACUCAAACGUCGCGUUCUUCUCUUCAAUCCUUUUUGUAACUGAAAUUGCUUGCAAGGCCUUUGCUAUUCAACUCUCUCGCUCCUGUCGCAGAUGCCUUUCGCCCUUCUAUACAACGCCCUUUCAGAGCCUUCUCCUCUAUUCUAAAUUACCACGAAUAGUUGAUUUUUUUUUAUUAGUUGAAGAUUUCAGCCUCAUAGGGCGAAUCGUUUGCGGCAGGAUAAUGGAAGAUUUGGUUAUCAAAAUUCAAAGGCGGAUUAGGGUGAUUUCAGAUUGAAUACAUUCCUACGACCUACGACAACAGCUUACUUCAAUUGGGUUCGGAAAGAUGGUGCGGUGGAAGAUCCAAUCUUACUUCUGAUGUCUAUAUGCCCAGGUGAGUAUAAAAUUACAAAUUAUGGAUACCAAUUAUAGAGUUUGAUCUAUUUCCUGUAAGGUAUUUUAAGUUGAUUUUGAUAGUAGUAGUAGUAGUAGGGACAUAUAUGGGACUAAGGAGGAGCAAAAUCAAAGUCAAUGAGUUCCCACAAAUGGGGUCUAGGAGGACUAAAGAGGAGAAAAUGAGAAAUUUGUUCGAUUGAUGCAGUAAAGUGCUUCGGCAUUGGGCUUUACUUUUCUUUUUGUGCAAUUCUUUUUUCUGCCUUUAACUAGAAGCUCCAGUUCAUUUCGGUAGUUUGUAUCUUAUCAAUGUGCAUUCAUUUGAGGCUUUGCUUGGAACUAUGAAUAUGAAAUUUGCACACGGUGGUGUAGUCUUAAUUUUGACUCCCUGUGGUGUGAGUAGAAGAAAUAGUUUACAUAAAAUUUUAUAAAUUGGUGAGAGAAGAAGAGAAUGAUAUUUAAGAAAAUUAUAUAAGGCAUGAGAAAGGCUACGAGGGUAAUAUUCAAGAAAGCUAUAGAAGGCAUGAGAAAGGCUUUCACUUUGACGCGCAAAUAAAUAAUGAGUUUAUAUGGAAAAAGAAAGGUAUCACGGGUUCUUUAUGUUUAUCAAGCUUCAAAUGCUAGAUCUUUAAUAACCAUAAAUACACAUCUUGAUCUUUCAUACUGCUUUCAUACUAUUGAUGCAGCAUUAUCAAAGAUAAAGCUAUAUUCCGUAUAUGCAUAAAUAUCUUUUGCCCAAGAGCAUACUGAAAAAAGAAAACGUGAUUGACAAAUUCAAAUUUUCUUUCUAUUAUUUUACAAGUUCUCAAUAUAAUGAGUGGUCCAUCAGUUUUAACUGUCUUUGGACUUUAGUGGAGUAAUGUUAUAUUUUUUUGUCUCUUUUUUGUGUAGAACAGUUGA